UGAGCCCCAAGCGUUAUCCGGAAUUAUUGGGCGUAAAGGGUGCGUAGGCGGCUUGGUUAGUCGACUGGUUAAAGUCUGGGGCUCAACCCCAGUUCUGCCAGCGAAACGGCCAAGCUAGAGAUAGUCAGAGGUACAGGGAACUCAUGGUGUAGGGGUGAAAUCCGUUGAUAUCAUGGGGAACACCAAAGGCGAAGGCACUGUACUGGGACUUUUCUGACGCUGAGGCACGAAACCCUGGGGAGCGAAGCGG
rnacentral:rRNA from 1 species